rnacentral:rRNA from 1 species
GAUGAACGCUAGCGGGAGGCCUAACACAUGCAAGCCGAGCGGUAUUGUUUCUUCGGAAAUGAGAGAGCGGCGUACGGGUGCGUAACACGUGUGCAACCUGCCUUUAUCUGGGGGAUAGCCUUUCGAAAGGAAGAUUAAUACUCCAUAAUAUAUUGAACGGCAUCGUUUAAUAUUGAAAGCUCCGGCGGAUAGAGAUGGGCACGCGCAAGAUUAGCUAGUUGGUGAGGUAACGGCUCACCAAGGCGAUGAUCUUUAGGGGGCCUGAGAGGGUGAUCCCCCACACUGGUACUGAGACACGGACCAGACUCCUACGGGAGGCAGCAGUGAGGAAUAUUGGGCAAUGGGUGCAAGCCUGAACCAGCCAUCCCGCGUGAAGGACGACUGCCCUAUGGGUUGUAAACUUCUUUUGUAUAGGGAUAAACCUACCCUCGAGAGGGUAGCUGAAGGUACUAUACGAAUAAGCACCGGCUAACUCCGUG